GAUGAACGCUGGCGGCGUGCCUAAUACAUGCAAGUCGAGCGAACAGACGAGGAGCUUGCUCCUCUGACGUUAGCGGCGGACGGGUGAGUAACACGUGGAUAACCUACCUAUAAGACUGGGAUAACUUCGGGAAACCGGAGCUAAUACCGGAUAAUAUAUUGAACCGCAUGGCUCAAUAGUGAAAGACGGUUUUGCUGUCACUUAUAGAUGGAUCCGCGCCGCAUUAGCUAGUUGGUAAGGUAACGGCUUACCAAGGCAACGAUGCGUAGCCGACCUGAGAGGGUGAUCGGCCACACUGGAACUGAGACACGGUCCAGACUCCUACGGGAGGCAGCAGUAGGGAAUCUUCCGCAAUGGGCGAAAGCCUGACGGAGCAACGCCGCGUGAGUGAUGGAGGUCUUCGGAUCGUAAAACUCUGUUAUUAGGGAAGAACAAAUGUGUAAGUAACUAUGCACGUCUUGACGGUACCUAAUCAGAAAGCCACGGCUAACUACGUG
rnacentral:rRNA from 1 species